rfam:Loxodonta africana unplaced genomic scaffold scaffold_51, whole genome shotgun sequence.
GCAUUGGUUGUUCAGUGGUAGAAUUCUCGCCUUCCAUGUGGGAGACCCGGGUUUGAUUCCUGCCCAAUGCA